rnacentral:misc_RNA from 1 species
AACUUUUAACAACGGAUCACUUGGCUCUCGAAUCGAUGAAGAACGCAGCGAAAUGCGAUAAGUAAUGUGAAUUGCAGAUUUUCAGUGAAUCACCGAAUCUUUGAACGCACCUUGCGCUCCUUGGUAUUCCGAGGAGCAUGCCUGUUUGAGUGUCAUUAAAUCAUCAACCCCACCGAUUUGUUUCGGCUUGGGGCUUGGACUUGGAGCGUUCUGGUGAAGGUCGGCUCCUCUUUAAAUGCAUCAGCGGAAGAACGCAUCUUUUUUCCCUUCAGCGUGAUAAUCCUGUUGCGCUGUGUGUGGGUCAAAGGUGUUCCGCUUAUAAUUGUCCUUCGGACAAACGACCCCAUCUAUUUUUGACCUCAAAUCAGGUAGGACUACCCGCUGAACUUAAGCAUAUCAAUAAGCGGAGGCU